ACGGGUGAGUAACGCGUGGGAAUCUACCGUGCCCUGCGGAAUAGCUCCGGGAAACUGGAAUUAAUACCGCAUACGCCCUACGGGGGAAAGAUUUAUCGGGGUAUGAUGAGCCCGCGUUAGAUUAGCUAGUUGGUGGGGUAAAGGCCUACCAAGGCGACGAUCCAUAGCUGGUCUGAGAGGAUGAUCAGCCACAUUGGGACUGAGACACGGCCCAAACUCCUACGGGAGGCAGCAGUGGGGAAUAUUGGACAAUGGGCGCAAGCCUGAUCCAGCCAUGCCGCGUGAGUGAUGAAGGCCUUAGGGUUGUAAAGCUCUUUCACCGGAGAAGAUAAUGACGGUAUCCGGAGAAGAAGCCCCGGCUAACUUCGUGCCAGCAGCCGCGGUAAUACGAAGGGGGCUAGCGUUGUUCGGAAUUACUGGGCGUAAAGCGCACGUAGGCGGAUAUUUAAGUCAGGGGUGAAAUCCCAGAGCUCAACUCUGGAACUGCCUUUGAUACUGGGUAUCUUGAGUAUGGAAGAGGUAAGUGGAAUUCCGAGUGUAGAGGUGAAAUUCGUAGA
rnacentral:rRNA from 1 species